GCCGGGAUAGCUCAGUAGAUCGGAGGAUUUUCUUUCAAUCCUCGUCCAUCCCCAGGUUGGUUACCGGCG
rnacentral:tRNA from 1 species